UCCCUGGCAGUGUCGACGAUGACUAUUGAGUACGCAUGGGCCAACUCCACCAACUAUUGAGUACUACGCCUCAUGCUUUGAGCCCAUGGGCCCAUGUAGGCAACAAAUCCAAGUCUAGGUCAGCCGUAUGCUUUGGAAUUAAAGCCAGUUUGAAAAAGCUAGAGUGAUUGAUUGCUGAAAGUCAGCAACGAAAAAAAAAGAAACCCAUCUUUCUUUUGGCGAAAAUGGAACACAUCUUUUCGAAACUCUUGAAACGUAUUUUCCACUUCUUCACAAGCUUUUACUGUAAGUUUGUUUCUUAUCAUGUAGCAAUGAGAGACGAA
rnacentral:lncRNA from 1 species